rfam:TPA: Bos taurus chromosome 11, whole genome shotgun sequence.
UCCCUGGUGGUCCAGUGACGAGGACUCCCUGCUUCCAAUGUGGUGGGCCCUGGUUCGAUCCCUGGUCAGGGAA